rnacentral:lncRNA from 1 species
CUAGUAGUAGAAAGUUUAGCUUUGGCUUAUAUGUGAUAUCUUAGCUUUCAAAAAUUCUUUUAUUUUGUAUAGAGGCUCAAAUUAUAAUAAAACCCUUCAACACAUUUUCUUCCCAUAAAGGAUAUUUUUACCUUGAACUUUAGAAAUUCAUAUCUCCUGAUCCAACCAUUCAAUUUUUUUCAAAUUUCUAUCUAACAUAGAUUCCAUUUUUAAUCUUUAUCACAAAAAAAAUGAAUCGUAAAUCUAUUAUCAAUCUUUUGGCAUAUUAAAAAUCCUAAAAGGUACUCUAAAUCCUAAUCUACAAAAACCACUUGAAUACUAUUUUCUUCAUAUUUCAAAAACCUAAAAUCAAAAUGCCACAAAAUUUGUGCAUAAAGCUUACUAACAUGAUUACACACAUUUUAGAAAAUUUUGAAUCAAAAUCUUCUCAAAUUACUUAAGAUAUAGCUCAAAAUACAACCACUAGUAAAUCGGAUCACUUGCUACCUUUAGAUUUGAAGUACUAACUUCAACUUCCAAUAUCUCUUUCAUUCUAACUUAAAAUCCAUCAAAUAGUAUGUCAAAAGUACAAUCAAAAAAAUGUUCUUUCCAACCCGAAUCAUUGAUCCUUUAUUGCUUUGUGUACAUGUGUGUUAUAUCCAAAAGAGUGAUAGUAGGUACAAAAUCAACAUCUUAACUUUGAUUGCCUAUAUUUCUUUCAUAUAAACUUUAAAGCACACAAAAUUUUUACCAAAACUAUAGCCAAAAACCUAAACUUGCUGACUUUAAUCUCUUAAUUAAAAAUUACCUUGAAAGAAUAACCCUAAUUCCUAAUGAUGUCUUGGAUAGCUUCCUUGAAGUCCAUUGGGCGUGAUUUUUUGAUAAUAGGAAUAGAAAUUUUCAUCAUCCAUCUCUAUUCAUCCAUUCAAAUGCUCUAACUCUUUUUGCUACCAAAACUCCUCUGCAAU